rnacentral:rRNA from 1 species
GAUGAACGCUGGCGGCGUGCCUAAUACAUGCAAGUCGAACGCGAGAGGAGGGAGCUUGCUCCCUCUGAUCGAGUGGCGGACGGGUGAGUAACACGUAGGCAACCUGCCCAUCAGCCGGGGAUAACUGCGGGAAACCGUGGCUAAUACCGGAUAAUCCUCCCCGCCGCGGGGUGGGGAGUUGACAGACGGUUCCGGCUGUCGCUGAUGGAUGGGCCUGCGGCGCAUUAGCUGGUUGGCGGGGUAACGGCCCACCAAGGCAACGAUGCGUAGCCGACCUGAGAGGGUGAUCGGCCACACUGGGACUGAGACACGGCCCAGACUCCUACGGGAGGCAGCAGUAGGGAAUCUUCCGCAAUGGACGCAAGUCUGACGGAGCAACGCCGCGUGAGUGAAGAAGGGUUUCGGCUCGUAAAACUCUGUUGUUAAGGAAGAACGCCAGGUAGAGUAACUGCUACCUGUGUGACGGUACUUAACCAGAAAGCCACGGCUAACUACGUGCCAGCCGCCGCUGUAA